rnacentral:lncRNA from 1 species
CGGAUUGAUUCUCACCCUGAGCUCAGGACUACCAUGUCACCUCUCUGCUUAAGCAGGUUGCACUGACUUCCUUGCCUACUAAACUGCUUGCCCAGAGGCUGAGGUGCAUUUUCCCCAGCAAAGCUGAUCCCCGAGGACCCGUUUCUUGCUUGACUUGAGGAACGCAGCUCACCAGAACCCUGCUUCGUGG